UUGACCUACGGGAGGCAGCAGUGGGGGAUAUUGCACAAUGGGGGGAACCCUGAUGCAGCGACGCCGCGUGAAGGAAGAAGUAUCUCGGUAUGUAAACUUCUAUCAGCAGGGAAGAAAAUGACGGUACCUGACUAAGAAGCCCCGGCUAACUACGUGCCAGCAGCCGCGGUAAUACGUAGGGGGCAAGCGUUAUCCGGAUUUACUGGGUGUAAAGGGAGCGUAGGCGGCAGUGCAAGUCAGAAGUGAAAGCCCGGGGCCCAACCCCGGAACUGCUCUGGAAACUGUGCGGCUAGAGUACUGGAGGG
rnacentral:rRNA from 1 species